UACGGAGGGUGCAAGCGUUAAUCGGAAUUACUGGGCGUAAAGCGUGCGUAGGUGGUUCGUUAAGUCCGUUGUGAAAGCCCCGAGCUCAACUUGGGAAUUGCAGUGGAUACUGGCGAGCUAGAGUGCGGUAGAGGAAGGUGGAAUUCCCGGUGUAGCGGUGAAAUGCGUAGAGAUCGGGAGGAACACCAGUGGCGAAGGCGGCCUUCUGGACCAGCACUGACACUCAAGCACGAAAGCGUGGGGAGCAAACAGG
rnacentral:rRNA from 1 species